GGGUGGGCUCGCAGUGGACCGAGGGAGGGCGUGCAGCCCAGAGGAAAAGCCCCGAAAACCGAGCCCUGCUGUUUUUCUUUUGCACUGGGUCCACCCAGUGGUACAGCCUGUCCUGCCUUCAUGCUUUGGUUCCCCCCAGUGUACAACUUCUCUCUCCAGUGGGCUGUUCAGAUCCAACCCUCGCCCACACUCAGCCAGCAAGGAGUGCCCAGGGAUUGAACAUGCGGCCAUGGAGUAUCGGGAUGACUGUCUAACCACUUGAACUGCCCGGCCAGGCAGGAAUGAAGGUCUGACACAGGGUACGACAUGGACACAGCUUGAAAACAUGCCGAGUGAAGAUGCCAGGCAGAAAAGGCCACAUACUGUAUGGUUCCAUUUAUAUGAGAUGUCCAGAAUCAGCAGGUCAAUAGAGAUGGAAACUAGAAUACUGGUUGCUAGGGGCCGGGGCGCAGGGAUUGGAGAAUAACUGUUAGUGGCGGCAGGUUUUCUUUUGGAAGAAAUACGGCUGUUCUAAAAUUGAUUGUGGUGAUGGUUGCACAACAUGGUGAACAUACUAAAAACAUCGAAUUGUAUAGUUUAAAAUGGUAAGUUGUGUGGUAUGUGAAUUAUAUCUCAAUAAAGCUCUUACUGAAAAAAUAUUAGCCAGACUUCCCUGCAUUAAUGCUGACAGAAAGCAUCAGGAAGUGGACUCAAGAACUUGCCGAGUGACUGGGGAAGAUUCUUUGCGGUUACAUUGCCAUAGUACUCAUGAAACGAUUGCAGACAAGUGACUUGGGGUAGAGGAGGCUUUGAUCCAUCCUUUAGGCCCCAGCAUGUGCUACCUCUGAGAGUGGCCCCUUACCUCGUAACCGUCUUUUUGUGACUUCCCAUCAGCCUCAGCCCUUCCUUCUUUUUUUCCUCUUUAGCACUUCACAAACUUGGAAUCAUUUUCUGUCCAUGCAUAUGAUUUUGUGACUCUCACUGGGUUCCACGAGGUCAGGGUUUUGUCCGUAUCUGGUUUGCCCACAGUAGGUGCUCAACAAAUACCUGUUAAGUGAAUGAACCCAUGCAGGGUAAGGAAAAAGUAGGUUUAUGGUUGUGAGUACAAGAAACAUAGAGUUUACUCUUGUGUUGUUAUUUAUUAAUCAGUGUAUUAUUUUCUACAUAAACAACUGUAAAUCCAUUUCUGCCCUGUCCUGUAUAUGCUGUUU